GAGAGGACCAUAGCUCAGUGGUAGAGCAUCUGCCUGGCAUGCAGAAGGUCCCAAGUUAAAUCCUUGGCCUCACCA